rnacentral:rRNA from 1 species
UACGUAGGGUGCGAGCGUUGUCCGGAAUUAUUGGGCGUAAAGAGCUUGUAGGCGGUCUGUCGCGUCUGCUGUGAAAAUCCGGGGCUCAACCCCGGACUUGCAGUGGGUACGGGCAGACUAGAGUGUGGUAGGGGAGACUGGAAUUCCUGGUGUAGCGGUGAAAUGCGUAGAUAUCAGGAGGAACACCGGUGGCGAAGGCGGCUCUCUGGACGGAUACUGACGCUGAGGCGCGAAAGCGUGGGGAUCAAACAGG